rnacentral:rRNA from 1 species
AUGAACGCUGGCGGCGUGCCUAAUCCAUGCAAGUCGAGCGAACGGACGAGAAGCUUGCUUCUCUGAUGUUAGCGGCGGACGGGCGAGUAACACGUGGAUAACCUACCUAUAAGACUGGGAUAACUUCGGGAAACCGGAGCUAAUACCGGAUAAUAUUUUGAACCGCAUGGUUCAAAAGUGAAAGGCGGUCUUGCUGUCACUUAUAGAUGGAUCCGCGCUGCAUUAGCUAGUUGGUAAGGUAACGGCUUACCAAGGCAACGAUGCAUAGCCGACCUGAGAGGGUGAUCGGCCACACUGGAACUGAGACACGGUCCAGACUCCUACGGGAGGCAGCAGUAGGGAAUCUUCCGCAAUGGGCGAAAGCCUGACGGAGCAACGCCGCGUGAGUGAUGAAGGUCCUCGGAUCGUAAAACUCUGUUAUUAGGGAAGAACAUAUGUGUAAGUAACUGUGCACAUCUUGACGGUACCUAAUCAGAAAGCCACGGCUAACUACGUG